AGAUUGAACGCUGGCGGCAGGCCUAACACAUGCAAGUCGAGCGGCAGCACGGGUACUUGUACCUGGUGGCGAGCGGCGGACGGGUGGGUAAUGCCUAGGAAUCUGCCUGGUAGUGGGGGAUAACGCUCGGAAACGGACGCUAAUACCGCAUACGUCCUACGGGAGAAAGCAGGGGACCUUCGGGCCUUGCGCUAUCAGAUGAGCCUAGGUCGGAUUAGCUAGUUGGUGAGGUAAUGGCUCACCAAGGCGACGAUCCGUAACUGGUCUGAGAGGAUGAUCAGUCACACUGGAACUGAGACACGGUCCAGACUCCUACGGGAGGCAGCAGUGGGGAAUAUUGGACAAUGGGCGAAAGCCUGAUCCAGCCAUGCCGCGUGUGUGAAGAAGGUCUUCGGAUUGUAAAGCACUUUAAGUGGAGAAGGCAGUUACCUAAUACGUAUCUGUUUUGACGUUACGACAGAAUAAGCACCGGCUAACUCUGUGCCUAGCACG
rnacentral:rRNA from 1 species